AUGGGCACGAGUGUCCUCUGCUGCCUGGUGCUUUGUCUCCUGGGAGCAGGUUCUUUUGUUGCUGAAGUCAUCCAGACUCCAGGACAUCUUGUCAAAACAAAAGGACAGAAAGCAAAGAUGAACUGUGUCCCCACCACAGGACAUACCGCUGUUUACUGGUAUCAACAGAAGCCCAACAAAGAGCUUCAGUUCUUGAUUUACUUUCUGAACCGAGAAGUUCUUGAGCAAAUCGAGAUGGUCAAGCAGCGAUUCACAGUUGAGUACCCCAAAAACUCCUCCUGCAGCUUGGAAAUCCAGUCCUCUGAACCAGGAGACUCAGCCCUCUACUUCUGCGCCAGCAGUCCAUCCACAGCGCUGAAGCGUUGGUUCCUCUUGGUGCAUAAACCCAUCACGGCCGACUCAGGAAGCAGGCGAUGCAUUCGGUUGGAAGGAAGUAACAGAGAUCAGCUGGAGCCCAUAUAA